ACGUGGGCAAUCUGCCCUGCACUCUGGGACAAGCCCUGGAAACGGGGUCUAAUACCGGAUGACACUUUCUCUCGCAUGGGGGAAGGUUGAAAGCUCCGGCGGUGCAGGAUGAGCCCGCGGCCUAUCAGCUAGUUGGUGAGGUAGAAGCUCACCAAGGCGACGACGGGUAGCCGGCCUGAGAGGGCGACCGGCCACACUGGGACUGAGACACGGCCCAGACUCCUACGGGAGGCAGCAGUGGGGAAUAUUGCACAAUGGGCGAAAGCCUGAUGCAGCGACGCCGCGUGAGGGAUGACGGCCUUCGGGUUGUAAACCUCUUUCAGCAGGGAAGAAGCGAAAGUGACGGUACCUGCAGAAGAAGCGCCGGCUAACUACGUGCCAGCAGCCGCGGUAAUACGUAGGGCGCAAGCGUUGUCCGGAAUUAUUGGGCGUAAAGAGCUCGUAGGCGGCUUGUCACGUCGGUUGUGAAAGCCCGGGGCUUAACCCCGGGUCUGCAGUCGAUACGGGCAGGCUAGAGUGUGGUAGGGGAGAUCGGAAUUCCUGGUGUAGCGGUGAAAUGCGCAGAUAUCAGGAGGAACACCGGUGGCGAAGGCGGAUCUCUGGGCCAUUACUGACGCUGAGGAGCGAAAGCGUGGGGAGCGAACAGGAUUAGAUACCCUGGUAGUCCACGCCGUAUACGGUGGGAACUAGGUGUUGGCGA
rnacentral:rRNA from 1 species